rnacentral:rRNA from 1 species
UACAGAGGGGGCGAGCGUUGUUCGGAAUUACUGGGCGUAAAGGGCGCGUAGGCGGCCCGCUAAGUCGAACGUGAAAUCCCCAGGCUUAACCUGGGAACUGCGUCCGAUACUGGCAGGCUUGAAUCCGGGAGAGGGAUGUGGAAUUCCAGGUGUAGCGGUGAAAUGCGUAGAUAUCAGGAGGAACACCGGUGGCGAAGGCGCACAUCUGGCCCGAUACUGACGCUGAGGCGCGAAAGCUAGGGGAGCAAACGGG